rnacentral:rRNA from 1 species
GGGUUGUGAGGUUAAGCGACUAAGCGUACACGGUGGAUGCCCUGGCAGUCAGAGGCGAUGAAGGACGUGCUAAUCUGCGAUAAGCGUCGGUGAGGUGAUAUGAACCGUUAUAACCGGCGAUUUCCGAAUGGGGAAACCCAGUGUGUUUCGACACACUAUCAUUAACUGAAUCCAUAGGUUAAUGAGGCGAACCGGGGGAACUGAAACAUCUAAGUACCCCGAGGAAAAGAAAUCAACCGAGAUUCCCCCAGUAGCGGCGAGCGAACGGGGAGGAGCCCAGAGCCUGAAUCAGUGUGUGUGUUAGUGGAAGCGUCUGGAAAGGCGUGCGAUACAGGGUGACAGCCCCGUACACAAAAAUGCACAUAUUGUGAGCUCGAUGAGUAGGGCGGGACACGUGGUAUCCUGUCUGAAUAUGGGGGGACCAUCCUCCAAGGCUAAAUACUCCUGACUGACCGAUAGUGAACCAGUACCGUGAGGGAAAGGCGAAAAGAACCCCGGCGAGGGGAGUGAAAAAGAACCUGAAACCGUGUACGUACAAGCAGUGGGAGCCUCUUAAUGGGGUGACUGCGUACCUUUUGUAUAAUGGGUCAGCGACUUAUAUUCUGUAGCAAGGUUAACCGAAUAGGGGAGCCGAAGGGAAACCGAGUCUUAACUGGGCGUUAAGUUGCAGGGUAUAGACCCGAAACCCGGUGAUCUAGCCAUGGGCAGGUUGAAGGUUGGGUAACACUAACUGGAGGACCGAACCGACUAAUGUUGAAAAAUUAGCGGAUGACUUGUGGCUGGGGGUGAAAGGCCAAUCAAACCGGGAGAUAGCUGGUUCUCCCCGAAAGCUAUUUAGGUAGCGCCUCGUGAAUUCAUCUCCGGGGGUAGAGCACUGUUUCGGCAAGGGGGUCAUCCCGACUUACCAACCCGAUGCAAACUGCGAAUACCGGAGAAUGUUAUCACGGGAGACACACGGCGGGUGCUAACGUCCGUCGUGAAGAGGGAAACAACCCAGACCGCCAGCUAAGGUCCCAAAGUCAUGGUUAAGUGGGAAACGAUGUGGGAAGGCCCAGACAGCCAGGAUGUUGGCUUAGAAGCAGCCAUCAUUUAAAGAAAGCGUAAUAGCUCACUGGUCGAGUCGGCCUGCGCGGAAGAUGUAACGGGGCUAAACCAUGCACCGAAGCUGCGGCAGCGACACUAUGUGUUGUUGGGUAGGGGAGCG